GACAGAAGGUGCAAGCGUUACUCGGAAUUACUGGGCGUAAAGCGUCUGUAGGUGUCUUGCCACGUCUGGUCACAAAAUGCGGGGCUCAACCCCGCAUCCUGACUGGAAACGAGCGAGAUCGAGUCAUUCAGAGGCAUCUGGAAUGUCGUGUGUAGGGGUAAAAUCCGUAGAUACACGAUGGAACGCCAAAAGCGAAAGCAGGAUGCUGGGAAUGCACUGACACUCAGAGACGAAAGCGUGGGGAGCAAAGGGG
rnacentral:rRNA from 1 species